rnacentral:rRNA from 1 species
UACGUAGGGCGCAAGCGUUAUCCGGAAUUAUUGGGCGUAAAGGGCGCGUAGGCGGCUUGAUAAGUCAAAGGUGAAAUCCCUCGGCUCAACUGAGGAACUGCCUUUGAAACUGUCAGACUUGAGGCCGGGAGGGGGUAGCGGAAUUCCCAGUGUAGCGGUGAAAUGCGUAGAUAUUGGGAGGAACACCGGUGGCGAAGGCGGCUACCUGGACCGGUUCUGACGCUGAUGCGCGAAAGCGUGGGUAGCAAACAGG